AACCAUAGAAACCUGCGGAGUACCUGCGGAGGGAUCAUUACUGAGUCACGUGCUCAAACAACCCUUCUGUGGACCUGAAAUAAAACCGUUGCCUCGGCGGGCGGUCCCCCCAAGCAAACCCCACGUGUGGGUUAGGGGACCAGACAGUCCGGCACGCUUAAGGCGUCCGGCGCCAGCCGCUGGCCCCAAACAAUUAAACUCUAGUAACCUUUACCUUCUGAGUUUCAAUAUUUAAAAAUA
rnacentral:misc_RNA from 1 species